ACUCAUAGCUAGGGGUGUCUGUGAAGCCAGGCUGAGAAAGACCCUUAGAACCUGAGACUGGGUAAUACCAGCGUAGGGAAGCUGUUUAUAGAGGUA
rfam:Crocosphaera watsonii WH 8501 ctg361, whole genome shotgun sequence.